rnacentral:rRNA from 1 species
AUUGAACGCUGGCGGCAGGCCUAACACAUGCAAGUCGAACGGUAACAGGAAACAGCUUGCUGUUUCGCUGACGAGUGGCGGACGGGUGAGUAAUGUCUGGGAAACUGCCUAAUGGAGGGGGAUAACUACUGGAAACGGUAGCUAAUACCGCAUAACGUCGCAAGACCAAAGAGGGGGACCUUCGGGCCUCUUUCCAUCAGAUGUGCCCAGAUGGGAUUAGCUAGUAGGUGGGGUAACGGCUCACCUAGGCGACGAUCCCUAGCUGGUCUGAGAGGAUGACCAGCCACACUGGAACUGAGACACGGUCCAGACUCCUACGGGAGGCAGCAGUGGGGAAUAUUGCACAAUGGGCGCAAGCCUGAUGCAGCCAUGCCGCGUGUAUGAAGAAGGCCUUCGGGUUGUAAAGUACUUUCAGCGGGGAGGAAGGGAGUAAAGUUAAUACCUUUGCUCAUUGACGUUACCCGCAGAAGAAGCACCGGCUAACUCCGUG